rnacentral:tRNA from 1 species
GGGCUCAUAGCUCAGCCUGGUAGAGCAUCUGACUCUUAAUCAGAGGGUCGAGGGUUCGAAUCCCUCUGAGCCCG